rnacentral:rRNA from 1 species
UACGUAGGCAGCAAGCGUUGUUCGGAGUUACUGGGCGUAAAGGGUGCGUAGGCGGCUUUUUAAGUCUGGUGUGAAAUCUCCCGGCUCAACUGGGAGGGUGCGCCGGAUACUGAGGGGCUAGAGUGUGGGAGAGGAAAGUGGAAUUCCUGGUGUAGCGGUGAAAUGCGUAGAUAUCAGGAGGAACACCGGUGGUGUAAACGGCUUUCUGGACCAUAACUGACGCUGAGGCACGAAAGCGUGGGUAGCAAACAGG